GCAAGAAACAACAUGCUAUUUACCUUCAUAGUAGAAGAGUCCAGCAGAACCAAGAUAGAAGCAGAGUGGGUGAAUCUAAACCUGUGGACACAUUCAUCUUGGAAACCCUAAGAGAGGCGAAAGCUAUGUGAGACAUUUGUAUCUGCUUUGCCUCCUGCCAUGAAUUAAAGUUCCCUGAGGCCUCCCCAGAAGCACAUACUCCCAUGCUUCCUGUAGAGCCUGCAGAACUGGAGAAAACAAAUUGGAAGGAGAUUUAAAGGAUUCUCAAAUACAAACUGAAGUUAUCAAGAACAAGAUAAUGAAGGACAGUAACUAUCAGAGAGGAUAACUUGAGCUGGGCGCGGUGGCUCACGUCUGUAAUCCCAGCAUUUUGGGA